GGGAAACUGCCUGAUGGAGGGGGAUAACUACUGGAAACGGUAGCUAAUACCGCAUAACGUCGCAAGACCAAAGAGGGGGACCUUCGGGCCUCUUGCCAUCGGAUGUGCCCAGAUGGGAUUAGCUAGUAGGUGGGGUAACGGCUCACCUAGGCGACGAUCCCUAGCUGGUCUGAGAGGAUGACCAGCCACACUGGAACUGAGACACGGUCCAGACUCCUACGGGAGGCAGCAGUGGGGAAUAUUGCACAAUGGGCGCAAGCCUGAUGCAGCCAUGCCGCGUGUAUGAAGAAGGCCUUCGGGUUGUAAAGUACUUUCAGCGGGGAGGAAGGGAGUAAAGUUAAUACCUUUGCUCAUUGACGUUACCCGCAGAAGAAGCACCGGCUAACUCCGUGCCAGCAGCCGCGGUAAUACGGAGGGUGCAAGCGUUAAUCGGAAUUACUGGGCGUAAAGCGCACGCAGGCGGUUUGUUAAGUCAGAUGUGAAAUCCCCGGGCUCAACCUGGGAACUGCAUCUGAUACUGGCAAGCUUGAGUCUCGUAGAGGGGGGUAGAAUUCCAGGUGUAGCGGUGAAAUGCGUAGAGAUCUGGAGGAAUACCGGUGGCGAAGGCGGCCCCCUGGAC
rnacentral:rRNA from 1 species